rnacentral:rRNA from 1 species
GACGUAGGGCGCAAGCGUUGUCCGGAAUUAUUGGGCGUAAAGAGCUCGUAGGCGGCUUGUCGCGUCGACUGUGAAAACCCGUGGCUCAACCAUGUGGUCUGCAGUCGAUACGGGCAGGCUAGAAUUCGGUAGGGGAGACUGGAAUUCCUGGUGUAGCGGUGAAAUGCGCAGAUAUCAGGAGGAACACCGAUGGCGAAGGCGGUUCUCUGGGCCUUACCUGACGCUGAGGAGCGAAAGCAUGGGGAGCAAACAGG